rnacentral:tRNA from 1 species
UGAAACAGCAUAGUGCAUAGUAGGGCUGCUAACUUUAUUGUAAAAGUUUAAAUACUUUUUGUUUCAU